rnacentral:rRNA from 1 species
GACGAACGCUGGCGGCGCGCCUAACACAUGCAAGUCGAACGGAGCUUAGAGAGCUUGCUUUUUAAGCUUAGUGGCGAACGGGUGAGUAACGCGUGAGUAACCUGCCCUAGAGUGGGGGACAACAGUUGGAAACGACUGCUAAUACCGCAUAAGCCCACGGUACCGCAUGGUACUGAGGGAAAAGGAUUUAUUCGCUUUAGGAUGGACUCGCGUCCAAUUAGCUAGUUGGUGAGGUAACGGCCCACCAAGGCGACGAUUGGUAGCCGGACUGAGAGGUUGAACGGCCACAUUGGGACUGAGACACGGCCCAGACUCCUACGGGAGGCAGCAGUGGGGGAUAUUGCACAAUGGGGGAAACCCUGAUGCAGCGACGCUGCGUGGAGGAAGAAGGUUUUCGGAUUGUAAACUCCUGUCGUUAGGGACGAUAAUGACGGUACCUAACAAGAAAGCACCGGCUAACUACGUG